CGAUAGGUCAUAAUAUCUGGAAUGAUUUAUGGUUUAAAUCUAUAUGGCCUCUGGAUUGGACUGCGGCCGAUCAGGCUGUUGGUGAGGUAAUGGCCCACCAAACCUGAAGCCGGUACGGGCUCUGAGAGGAGAAGCCCGGAGAUGGGCACUGAGACAAGGGCCCAGGCCCUAUGGGGCGCAGCAGGCGCGAAAACUCUGCAAUAAGCGAAAGCUUGACAGGGUUAUUCUGAGUGAUUUCCGCUAAGGAAAUCUUUUGGCACCUCUAAAAAUGGUGCAGAAUAAGGGGUGGGCAAGCCUGGUGUCAGCCGCCGCGGUAAUACCAGCACCCCGAGUGGUCGGGACGAUUAUUGGGCCUAAAGCAUCCGUAGCCGGUUCUACAAGUCUUCCGUUAAAUCCACCUGCUUAACAGAUGGGCUGCGGAGGAUACUAUAGAGCUAGGAGGCGGGAGAGGCAAGCGGUACUUAGUGGGUAGGGGUAAAAUCCGUUGAUCCAUUGAAGACCACCAGUGGCGAAGGCGGCUUGCCAGAACGCACUCGACGGUGAGGGAUGAAAGCUGGGGGAGCAAACCGGAUUAGAUACCCGGGUAGUCCCAGCUGUAAACGAUGCAGACUCGGUGAUGAAUAGGCUUCGUGCCUAUUCAGUGCC
rnacentral:rRNA from 1 species